rnacentral:rRNA from 1 species
AUUGAACGCUGGCGGCAGGCCUAACACAUGCAAGUCGAGCGAGAGGGGGACGGGUGAGUAAUAUAUGGGGGUCUGCACGAUAGAGGGGGAGAAAUACUGGAAACGGUAGCUAAAACCGCAUACUAUAGGAUGAAACCAUAUGGGAUUAGCGAGUGGGUGAGGGAAUGGCUCACCUAGGCGACGAUCCCUAGCUGGUCUGAGAGGAGGAUCAGCCACACGGGGACUGAGACACGGCCCAGACUCCUACGGGAGGCAGCAGUGGGGAAUAUUGCACAAUGGGCGCAAGCCUGAUGCAGCCAUGCCGCGUGUAUGAUGAAGGCCUUCGGGUUGUAAAGUACUUUUGGCAGAGAAGCGGUAUCUGCAGAAGAAGCACCGGCUAACUACGUGCCAGCAGCCGCGGUAAUAC